CCGCGCGCCCCUGCCUCUGUCCCGACCGCGCACCCCUUUAUCUCUCUGCGUCGACCGCCGCCGCCGCCCUCGCCUCGCCCGGCUGUGAAGUCGCCUGCUGCCGCUGACACACACCGUCACCGAUAGAUUAUGAUGUAUUUGUGAUGGAAUUGUGAGUUUGUGGUAGAUUAUAAUGGAUUUGUAAGGUAUUUUGGUGGACUGUGAUGUAUUUUGUGAGGAAUUGUGGUGAAU
rnacentral:lncRNA from 7 species